rnacentral:rRNA from 3 species
AGCCCUAAGCGGGUGGUAAACUCCAUCUAAGGCUAAAUAUGACCACGAGACCGAUAGCGAACAAGUACCGUGAGGGAAAGUUGAAAAGCACUUUGAAGAGAGAGUUCAACAGUACGUGAAACCGUUUAGGGGUAAACCUGAGAAACCCGAAAGGUCGAAGGGAGAAAUUCAUCGCGUUUCGACGCGGGCGUCGGACGGUCGAGUGACGGGAAACGUUCGCGUUUUCCGCGCCUUCCGCUCGUCGAACCGGCGGCGAACGCGUGCACUUUUCUUUCGGUAGGACGUCGCGAUCCGUCGGGCGUCGGUCUACGGCUCGCGGUGGAGCCCGUUCGUAUUAUUCGUACGGACGGACCCGCGUGUCCCGGCCGACCCGCUCGACGGUAGGCGAACGGUUUGAGGCCGCUCUUUCGGAGCGUCCGACUCGUGGCAAGCGCGCCAGAUGCGUCGGCGAUCGGACCUAGUGCCGGUUCUGACCUCUGGUGACUGUUGGCUACGAAGUUCUCGGACAGACCUCGGACCGAUCCGCGACGCUAUAGCUUUGGGUACUUUCAG